ACUAGCAUCCAUGAGGCUGCAGGUCCGGUCCCUGGCCUCGAUCAAGUGGGUUAAGGAUCCAGCAUUGCUGUGAACUGUGGUAUAGGUCACAGAUGCAUCUGGGAUCUGGCAUUGCUGUUGCUGUGGCAUAGGCCGGCAGCUGUGGCUCUAAUUAGACCCCUAGCUUGGGAACCUCCCUAUGCUGUGGGUGGAGCCCUAAAAAGCACAUAUAGACACCCCCCCCACACACACACACACACACGAUGGGCUCUUAAAAAUUACAAAAUGUAAUUCAAAGAUUAUAAAAUGGACAAUGAGGAGUUCCUGUUGUGGUGCAGCGGAAACGAAUCUGACUAGGAACCAUGAGUUUGCGGGUUCAAGUCCUGGCCUUGCUCAGUGGGUUAAGGAUCUGGCAUUGUGGUGAGCUGUAGUGUAGGUCGAAGACACGGCUCAGAUCCCUUGUUGCUGUGGCUGUGGCACAGGACAGAGGCUGUAGCUCUGAUUCAACCCCUAGCCUGGGAACCUCCAUAUGGCAGGGGUCUAAAAAAAAAAAAAAAAUUACAAAGAAAUAGUCCAUAAAAAGCAAGAGUCAGCCUAUGAGCUCAUCAAUAGAUACCAUUAAGACAGUGAAAAGGUAAGGCACAGACUGGGGGAAAAUAUUCACAACACAUAUCUGUCAAAGAACUUGUAUCUAGAAUAUAUAAAUAACUCAGACUAAUUUAUAAAAAAGAGACCACAACCUAAUUUAAAAACUUGAGCGAAAGGUUUGAACAAACACAUCACAAAAGAUAUCUAAAUGGCUUAUAACAAACAACUGAAAGAUACUCAAUAUCCUUACUCAGAACCAAAGUGAGAUACCACUACAUACCAUUCACCAAGUGUAAUGGCUACAAUUAAAAAAUGGACAAUACCAUUGUUGAAUAUGUAGAUUAACUGGAAUGCUCAUACAUUGUGGGUGGGAGUGCAAAAUUAUAAAAUUUCUUUAGAAAACUGAUUGGAAGUUAAGUAUUUUUCAAAAUUGAUGUAAGAAACAAAACCACUUAGGAAGACUAAUGGAUACUGAGCAUAAAAAUAAACCUAAAUGCAUACAUAGAUAUAUUAGAGUGAAAUUAACAAAAACUAAGGGGAUGUUCUCAUUGCAGCUCAGAAGGUUAAGAACCUGACAUAAUGUCUGUGAGGAUACAGGUUUGACCCCUGGCCUCACUCAGUGGGAUAAAGAUCCCACGUUGCUGCAAGCUGUGGCAUAGGUCACAGAUGUGGCUUGGAUCCCAUGUUGCUGUGGCUGUGGUGUAGGUCGGCGGCUACAGCUCCGAUUCAACCCCUAGCCUGGGAACCUCCAUAUGCCAUGGAAGCGGCCCUAGAAAUGGCAAAAAGACAAAAAAAAAAAAAAAAACGCAAAAAACAAAAGGACCCAGGAAACAACUUGAAUAGCUUACUGAGCAAAAAUGGGACAACUGGAGUGUCCAUAUAAGUGCAAUGGAUUAAAACUGAUCAAAUAUGCUUAAAUCUUUGAGCUCACAGUGAUAUUUUAAAAAGCUGAUCACAUUUGGAGUAUGAUAGGAAACCAAUUCAUGAUCUUGAAAACUGGCAAACAAAGGGAAAGGGUUAAGCAUUUAUUCUGCCUUUCCAACAUGAAUUGUACUAUUGGGUAUGUAAGUAGUUGCAAGCAUCUCUUUAUAGAUGUAUUUCAGCAAAUAAGUAAAAAGAAAGAAUUAGGAAUUAACCAGUUUUCAAUCCCCUGUGAAUUGGAUUUAGGCAAAGAGCAACAGUGGCUGCUAACAUCUCACAAAGAAAGGGACAACCAGGCAACCAUACAAAAUGUGUAGACUCGUCAAAGGAAUCACUUGAGUCUGAUAAUGCCUUUGCAUCUUGCUGCUAAUUUGUACACAAUACAAAAGACAUAUGACAAUGCUGACCAGUCCUUGAAAUGCAGUUAGUAAAGUCCAGAUUGUGGGAACUCUACAAGUCAAAUGGACCAGGUUCUUCAACAGAUAAAUUUUAGGAGUUCCCACUGUGGCUCAACGGUAAUGAACCCGACUAGUUUCCACGAGGAUGCAGGUUUGAUCCCUGGCCCUGCUCACUGGGUUAAGGAUCUAGCAUGGUCGUGAGCUGCAGUGUAGGAUGCAGAUGUGGCUCGGAUCUGGCACUGCUCUGGCUGUGGCGUAGGCAACAGCUGCAGCUCCAAUUUGACCCCUAGCCUGAGAACUUCCAUAUGCUACAGGUGAGGCCCUUAAAAAAAAAAAAAAAAAAAAAAA
rnacentral:lncRNA from 1 species